CUGAGGACUUCUUCAUAGGCUGUCACACCCUGUGCAGGACCCAGUCCCAGUCAGGACACAGCAUGGACAUGAGGGUCCCCGCUCAGCUCCUGGGGCUCCUGCUGCUCUGGCUGCCAGGUGGAAGAUGUGACAUCCAGUUGACCCAGUCUCCAUCUGUGUCUGCAUCAUUAGGAGAGAAAAUCACCAUCACUUGUCAAGCCAGCCAGGGUAUUAGCGAUGAUUUACACUGGCAUCAGCAGAAACCAGGGCAAGCUCCUAAAUUCCUAAUUGCUUAUGCAACCACUUUGCAGUCUGGGGUCCCUUCAAGGUUCAGUGGCAGUGGAUCUGGGACAGAUUUCACUCUCACCAUCAGCAGCCUGCAGCCUGAAGAUGUUGCAACUUACUACUGUCUACAAGAUUACAGUUCCCCUCCCACAGUGAUACAAGUCAUGACAUAAACCUCCCAGGGAAGCAGAAG